rnacentral:rRNA from 2 species
CCUACGGGAGGCAGCAGUGGGGAAUAUUGCACAAUGGGCGAAAGCCUGAUGCAGCAACGCCGCGUGAGGGACGACGGCCUUCGGGUUGUAAACCUCUUUUAGCAGGGAAGAAGCGAAAGUGACGGUACCUGCAGAAAAAGCACCGGCUAACUACGUGCCAGCAGCCGCGGUAAU